rnacentral:lncRNA from 1 species
CGCAGAUCCCGAGAAUCCAGCAGGGUCUCCGGGUAUGAGUCUGGUUGUCCCUCACCAGGACGAUCCCGCCUGGCUAUGAUAUCAUCUCUCACUUCCUGCCAGCCAGUGAUCUCAGCCACACUUGGAGCAGUCAGCGGGGCCCCCGGGGUUACCGAGCGCUUCCUGGAGGCCAGGCAGUGUCUGAGCACUUCGUAUCCACUGAUAGGUUUAAUCUCCCAACAACUGAAGAGGAUAAGCCACACGACGGCAACCUUUUCCUCUGCUGCAGCCCCAGUGCCAAGAACAACACCAAGCGUACUGCAGAGACAAGCUGUUUGUGAAUGAAGGCAUAAGUGCCCAUUUUCCGCAAGAGAAAGUUGUGGCUCAGUGGGGUUUCGCCGCACGGCUGCCCAGACUUCGGGUGGAGCGUCUCAGGGCUGCGGGACUCGCCACCUCCCUUAAGCAGUCCCUGAGCAAUGUCUCUUGUCAGCGCCGACCCUCG